rnacentral:ncRNA from 2 species
CCCGCAUCCCCGGGGAGCCUGUGUGCAGAAACAGGUUGAGAGCGGAACAGCCCGCGACCCGUCGAACCUGAUCCCGGUAAUACGGGCGGAGGGAGGGAGCGCGAUGGCACC